rnacentral:sRNA from 1 species
UUGAAAGGCGAGUCCCCUGAGUAGGAGU